CAGUCGCCGCGGUAAUACGAAGGGUGCAAGCGUUAAUCGGAAUUACUGGGCGUAAAGCGUGCGUAGGCGGUUCGUUAAGUCCGCUGUGAAAUCCCCGGGCUUAACCUGGGAAUGGCAGUGGAUACUGGCUCGCUAGAGUGUGUCAGAGGAUGGUGGAAUUCCCGGUGUAGCGGUGAAAUGCGUAGAGAUCUGGAGGAAUAUCAAUGGCGAAGGCAGCCAUCUGGGACAAUACUGACGCUGAGGCACGAAAGCGUGGGGAGCAAACAGGAUUAGAUACCCCGGUAGUCCCUGUCUCUUAUAC
rnacentral:rRNA from 1 species